rnacentral:rRNA from 1 species
UAACUGCGAGUGAAGCGGGAAAAGCUCAAAUUUAAAAUCUGUCAGUCUUUGGCUGUCCGAGUUGUAAUCUAGAGAAGUGUUAUCCGCGCUGGACCGUGUACAAGUCUCCUGGAAUGGAGCGUCAUAGAGGGUGAGAAUCCCGUCUUUGACACGGACUGCCAGGGCUUUGUGAUGCGCUCUCAAAGAGUCGAGUUGUUUGGGAAUGCAGCUCAAAAUGGGUGGUAAAUUCCAUCUAAAGCUAAAUAUUGGCGAGAGACCGAUAGCGAACAAGUACCGUGAGGGAAAGAUGAAAAGAACUUUGGAAAGAGAGUUAAACAGUACGUGAAAUUGCUGAAAGGGAAACGCUUGAAGUCAGUCGCGUUGUCCAGGGAUCAACCUUGCUUUUGCUUGGUGUACUUUCUGGUUGACGGGUCAGCAUCAAUUUUGACUAUUGGAAAAAGAUCAGGGGAAUGUGGCAUCCUUUGGAUGUGUUAUAGCCUUUGGUUGUAUACAAUAGUUGGGAUUGAGGAACUCAGCACGCCGCAAGGCCGGGUUUUUAACCACGUACGUGCUUAGGAUGCUGGCAUAAUGGCUUUAAUCGACCCGUCUUGAAACACGGACCAAGGAGUCUAACAUGCCUGCGAGUGUUUGGGUGGAAAACCCGAGCGCGUAAUGAAAGUGAAAGUUGAGAUCCCUGUCGUGGGGAGCAUCGACGCCCGGACCAGACCUUCUGUGACGGCUCCGCGGUAGAGCAUGUAUGUUGGGACCCGAAAGAUGGUGAACUAUGCCUGAAUAGGGUGAAGCCAGAGGAAACUCUGGUGGAGGCUCGUAGCGAUUCUGACGUGCAAAUCGAUCGUCAAAUUUGGGUAUAGGGGCGAAAGACUAAUCGAACCAUCUAGUAGCUGGUUCCUGC